UGUGGCCAUGCCUGAAGAUAAACCUGCUAAGGAUGUGCCUUCCUGCACCUUGUUAUUCAGAUCCUGGACUAGUGAGGUAGUCAAGCCUUGCUUCUGGAAACAUUCUUUCUGGUGAAACUGAAGGAGAAAGCUGUAAUGGACUUGUGGACUAAAAAACUGUCAAGUAAUUCUGAUUGGACUAUCAGCAGUUUGAGAUGUGGCAUUUUUUGACUGGACCCAUCACCUGGCUGUGACUCAAAUGGAGAAAUGAAAAGCCUGUUAUGUGAUAGGAUCAUUCUCCUCAUCCCAAACUAGUCCACACAACUAUGAGUGAACUCAAGAAAUUCAGAGAGGUCUAACAUCAUAGGCUUGAAGUUUGGCGGUAAUGAGCAUUGUUCAGAGAUCAUAGGUUGUUUUACACUGCUGAUGAGUCAAGCCAACAGAGGAGAGCUUCUGAGCUGGGACCUGCAGUAACUUCCAAGUGAGUCAUAGUCACUGAGGUGUCUAUUCUCUGCAUUUUCUGGGAAUCAGAGUCAAGAAGGCUUGUCACAGACAUCAGUUUUACCAGGAAGUCCUGAUCUAAAACAAGAAAUGACAAAGAUCAAGGGUUCAUCAACCAACAGGAAUGCAGACAGCUGCAAAAGUAAAUGAAUUUGGACUGUGAAUACUUGGCUGAGAAGAGACAAAUAGUUACACCUUUUCCACACAUGCCUAAGUCUGCCAAGUGAAAUGAGCUCCUGAAACAAACUCUGAAGGUCAGCAUAUUAACAAUAACAACUUGAGAAGACUUUUUUCAGCUAA